rnacentral:lncRNA from 1 species
GAAUUCCGGGAUUUGAUCGUUUUGAGCUCCAAAUUUGAAUUGGAUUGGGGCCUAUAAAUACCCCACCCAUUCAGCACUGAAAAGAUACAGACCUACACCGAAAUCUUGAUCUUUUCUGUGAUUCUAAGAGCUCAAAAGUGUUGUAAAGCCUUUAAGCCUCCUCCUUCUGUUCUUCAAGUUUUUGAGUUGUAAAGUGAGGAGAGAAAGGUCUGUAAAGGUUGUCUCCUGAGCCUGUCAAAAGGAGAGAAACUGUAAAAGGUCAGUUGGCCUUCGCCUAUUGAAGGAAGGCCUCUAGUUGACGUCGGUGACCUCGUCGGUGGAGGAAGCCAAAAGUGGAGUAGGUUAAGACUGACCGAACCACUCUAAAUCUCUGGUUUGCGUUUAUUUUGA